GUGUCAGCAGUGCGGUGUGUGUGUGUGUGUGUGUGUGUGUGUGAGUGUCAGGGGUGCAGUGUGUGUGUGUGUGUGUCAGGGGUGCAGUGUGUGUGUGUGUGAGUGUGAGUGUCAGGGGUGCAGUGUGUGUGUGUGAGUGUCAGGGGUGCAGUGUGUGUGUGUGUGUGUGUGUGAGUGUCAGGGGUGCAGUGUGUGUGUGUGUGUGUGUG